rnacentral:rRNA from 1 species
GACGAACGCUGGCGGCGUGCUUAACACAUGCAAGUCGAGCGGUAAGGCCCUUUCGGGGGUACACGAGCGGCGAACGGGUGAGUAACACGUGGGUGACCUGCCCUCAGCUCUGGGAUAAGCCCGGGAAACUGGGUCUAAUACCGGAUAUGACUCCAUGACGCAUGUUGUGGGGUGGAAAGCCUUGUGCGGCUGAGGAUGGGCCCGCGGCCUAUCAGCUUGUUGGUGGGGUGAUGGCCUACCAAGGCGACGACGGGUAGCCGGCCUGAGAGGGCGACCGGCCACACUGGGACUGAGACACGGCCCAGACUCCUACGGGAGGCAGCAGUGGGGAAUCUUGCGCAAUGGGCGAAAGCCUGACGCAGCGACGCCGCGUGAGGGAUGACGGCCUGGU